rnacentral:sRNA from 12 species
GAACGGUAUCGUAAUACCUGAUGACUUUGGUCGUCUUAGACGUCCUAGCUGUUCCUGCAAUGGAACGGGACCAGAAAUCAGACUGAAAUCGGAGCUCAGGUUGAGCCGUUC